UACGUAGGGUGCGAGCGUUGUCCGGAAUUAUUGGGCGUAAAGAGCUUGUAGGUGGUUUGUCGCGUCUGCUGUGAAAAAUCCGGGGCUCAACCCCGGACUUGCAGUGGGUACGGGCAGACUAGAGUGUGGUAGGGGAGACUGGAAUUCCUGGUGUAGCGGUGGAAUGCGCAGAUAUCAGGAGGAACACCGGUGGCGAAGGCGGGUCUCUGGGCAACAACUGACGCUGGAGGAGCGAAAGCGUGGGGAGCGAACAGG
rnacentral:rRNA from 1 species